ACGUUAACGAACGAGACCUCGACCUGCUAAAUAGUUCGACAAAGGAUUCUUUCUUUGGACGUGACUUCUUAGAGGGACUAUCGGUGUGUAGCCGACGGAAGUUCGAGGCAAUAACAGGUCUGUGAUGCCCUUAGAUGUUCUGGGCCGCACGCGCGCUACACUGACUGAUUCAUCAAGUUUACAACCUUGACCGAGAGGUCUGGGUAAUCUUUGCAACAUCAGUCGUGCUGGGGAUAGAUUAUUGUAAUUAUUAAUCUUCAACGAGGAAUUCCUAGUAAACGCAAGUCAUCAACUUGCAUUGAUUACGUCCCUGCCCUUUGUACACACCGCCCGUCGCUAGUACCGAUUGAAUGGCUA
rnacentral:rRNA from 1 species